AGCUUUCUGAAUCCUUGUUGAGAUUUCAUCAGACACCAAUCCAUUAGGGCUGAUCAGACUUCCGAGAUAAACGAAGUU
rnacentral:pre_miRNA from 1 species